UAUAUGGUUUGUGAGAUUGUUUGUUAUCACGAAUUUGAAUAGUUUUAUUUGUAAAUUGUGGUUUUUAUUUUCUUAAAUUUUUUAAAGAAACAUGCGAAGAGAAAACGGUUUGUUACGAGUCGCCCCUCAUCCUUCUCCGAGGUUUCUGCAUUGAGCACGCGGCGGGCUUGGUCAGAUGAUCCUGCGAUGGUUUGCCGUUCCCUCCUGUGGUCCACGAAGCAUGUCCUUAGAGUUGGCGUGAGGAUGCCUGCAUACUGGGAAGUCAGGGACUAUCAGGGGAAAGCCAGGAAAGUUGAAAUUGGUCAGGAAAAGUCAGGGAACUUACUUCAAAACAUGGUAAAGUCAUGGACAAUCCUCAGUGAUAGUAAUUUGAGGGGAAAUGUGUCAUGCACCAGUAUGUCAUUACCCAGACUUUGAAUUUUUUUUCUUCAGAUGGUGUUGAAUAAGUUCAGCUGUUACGCAGUUUCGCACUGCGUAACUUUGAUGAAUUUCAAGACUGCUCCCCUGCCUGUCACCUGGAUACCAACCGCAGCACAGGGGCGCGCACUGUUCGAAUUCUGCAUGCCUGGCAGCAAGCCAUCGGGCCCGCUCGGGUCCUUUCGACUCAGAUCGGCUUCGCGGGCUCGGCGCUGGAACUACAGACGAGCCGAACUUACGCAGCGGGCUUCCGGACUGUUCUUCGGUGUGAUCGGUCGGGGCCCAAAGGACUGUAAAUACGGCCCCCUCCAGUGGAUCGUCAGUCAGUCCCUGCCUCACCCCGGCUGCGUGAACUUGCGGUGACCACGAUCCUCACCAAUGACCUCCUCCAUCACACUGCCCGCCGACUGUGCUGGCCUGCCUGAGCGCUGUUUCGCCUGCUGUCUGCGAGUUUUCUCGUCGGUCGGUUUUGCUGCUUCUUUUGCUGUAUUUCUGAUGUUUUUGCUGUCUCUGUCGUUAGCUGUUUUGGUUUUUUGCUGCGGAUUUUCUGGUCUCAUUCUUUGUGCUGUUAUUCCGGUGCUUUGGACUGUCUUUGCUGUCUGUUUCUGGUUUUUCGUGCCUGGCUUUGUGCGAUUUUCAUGAUUGCUGUUUUUGCUUGUGAUUUUCGUCCCUUUUUUGCCUUGUUUGUUGCUGCUCUGUUUUCGCGCUUGUUACUGUGUGCUGUUCGCCUGACCUUUUUGCUGCUUCGUUAUGGCUGAACGCCGCCGCACCUUUUCUCCUGCUGUUCGUGUGCCUGAGUCGAUUCCCGACUCUGAUGCCUCGUUUUUGCUGCCUACCAGGUUUGCGGGGCUUUCUGACGACGAUUCACUGUCGCGGCCCAACUCGCGGCGCUCGCGCGCUGCUCGCCGAGGCCGCGGGCUGUCGCGCUCGCAAGAGGUGCGCUCUGAUCUGGACUCUUUCGCCGCAGCUAGCCAGGGCCGCCGCUGCCUCGUUCGACGGCCAGUCGUGCUUCUGGCGGCUCUCCGGACCAUGCCUUUGGUGGCUCCUCUUCCUCCCUGGACGAGUCUGCGGGUGCCUCGUGCUCCGUGCUGGGGGAUCCGCCUGCCGUGGUCGCUCUUCCCGCCUCCUCGCCGACCAUCACGCUGACGACCUGCGCUGCCACCACGACUGUGUGCUCGUCGCGCAUGUCGGCCUCUGCUGCUGCUUCUGGGCCCGGUCCGUCGCUGCUCGGUGCUGCCCCCGCCUCGCCUCACCUGCCGGCCGUGCCCCUCGCCUCGUCUGGUCCUAGUCUGUCCUUGUUGACCCCGACUGGCGCCUCUCCUGCCUUGUCUGUGGCGCCGUUGCCGUGCCUGUCGCCUCCUCGCCCGGCUGCCUGCCCUGCUGCUGUCGCCGCGGCUCCAGCUCCCGUGGUGGUGCCGUCUGCUUCGUCUGCGGCUGCCAUGGCUCCGCCCCCGGUGGCGUGGCGGACGGUUCUGCUGAUCUUAUGGAGGCCACCGAGGGACGUGUCGGCAAGCGUGCGGUGGCCACCGCGUGGUGCGAUGACUCUGAUGACUGGACGGAUGGCGCGCAUCCCAGACACCAGCGUGUGAAGUCCUCUGGGGCCUCUCAGUCCUCGUCGUUGCGGUCUGGUGAUGAAUCUGCUUCUCCCGCUCGCUCUGCGUCGUCCCGGUCUCGUGGGUUCUGUCCCGCGGCGCGGUGGCCGUCGCUCCCCAGUCUGCUGGCCCUCACACACGCCGCCUGCCGCACCACCUCAGCCGUCUGCGGCUACGCCGCUCACGCAGGCUCAGCCGAGGAAACCGCCACUGAUAGUGUGCAAAGGGGGGCUCUCUCCGUCGCCAAUUAAGGACAUGGCUGCGCUGCGCACACUGUUCACGGCCGACCUCAAGGCGACGCACUACAUCCGCACUUCCACUUACCAGGCGGCGAAUCGCGAGGACCACUUCCGCGUGGUCCAGCAUCUUCGUGUGUGUGGUUCCUCUCCUGGACGUGCGCUGAGGAUCGUCCUUGGGCGCCUGCAUAUCGACACCCCCACUGAGGAUAUUGCUGAGGCCCUCACGGAGCACGGCAUACUCCAUUCUUCUGUUGUCCGCUUGCAGUCUCGUCAGGAGUCUCCAGAGCCGCUGCCCCUCUUUCUUGUGGUGCUUCAGGGUACUUCUUCUCUCCACUCGGCCCUUCAGCUGACCAACCUGUGCGAUGUCGGUUGUUGUGGCUGAGCCGUUCCUGGGUGGUGGGGAGCUGGUUCGGUGUUUCCGCUGCCAGGAGUUCGGGCACGCCUCCCACAACUGCGACGAGUCUCCACGUUGUGUUCGCUGCAAUGCCUUCGGCCUGCGUCCCAGCCUGCGGCCUGCCGCAAUUGCCGUGGCGACCACCCGGCCAAAUGCUGCAGGAACUUGCAUCUAGAUUCAAAUUCGAGACACUCUUUCAAGAACCAAAUUCAAGAUUCAAAUUUGAAGAAACGUUCUACUCGACCCAUGAUUACUUCUGUAAAUGUUUCCCUAAAUGUUUUUUUUUUUUUUUUAGUUGGGAAACGAGAAAAUAGUUCUACUAGUUAAUGCAAACCUACCUAAGGCAUACCAAAUUAGAAAAUAAGAUUAAAUAAAUAUCAGAUGUGCAAUUGUAACAACAUUGUGAUAUAUCAGAAUGUCAUGCAUGCUUUGAAAAUACAUUUUUUAUAUUUAAAAAAAAAAACUUUUUUAAAUUUAGGUUGGCGUCAAUAAGAGCAAUCAUGGGUGAAGCCUAGUACCUACAUAACGUUCAAGUAUAAUAUUUCUUUAUAAAGAAAAAUACUUGUACACUCACUGUUCCGCUUACGAGCAUACAGGAAAGUAGUGUUGUAUCGUGAGCCAGCAUGGUUUUAAGAAGACGUCACUAUUUGUUUAACUGGUCUGUAGUAUUGCUUCUGUGCCAUCAUACAUGCUAGGGGUCUGCAAUUAUUCCAAAAAAAUAUUUUGUAUUAAUGGAUAAUUUGAUGUUUGACUCAGAUUUUCAAAUUGAAUAAUAUUUCUUAUUAAUUUUUUUACCAAUAGAUUCAACAAGUGGGACUCAUUGACAAAAAAAAUUUGAAAUGUAAGAGUGUUACAUGUAUGAAGCCAAAAAGAAUGAGAAAUUAAGAUUUUUUUCCUGCAACAUAAUAAAUAUCUGAUAUAUACACAUUACAAACAAUUUUUGACUAUGAUAAAAAUGAUAAAAAUAUUCCUUUUUAAUGUAUACAAUCUGUUAAUUGACAAAUAAAUUUUAAAAUUACUGUAUUUAGCAUUUGUGAAGUUAAUACUUUUAUUUAUACCUAAAUUUUAUUAAACUUUUAAAAUGCGAACAAAAGCAAUUUACCUUCAAAUAUUUCGGUAUUUUUUAGGGGGAAAUAAAUUACCUUAAAAACGAGGGGUGCAUGUGUGUAGGGUUUGUACGUGGGCCCGCAAAAAUUCACUGAGUAGGGGAGGGCUUAACAGACACAAAUAAUCUCUGAAUAGGUUGCUUGUAUGUUGUAUACUUCCCUUCUUUUGGCUUAUAUGCAUGCAAUAAGCAGAAAACUUAAAAUAUACAGAAAGUUUCCAUAAAACAUGGUUUAGAAGUUUACGUUUAUCAGUCAGUCCCAUUUCAUAGCCGUGCUUUUACAAGUGCAAGCGACUUCCUCAGUGAGGGGCUUAUUAAUUCCAGCCCCCCUCCCCUUCCUAGAAUUUAAGCCCAUGUCAAAAACAUUUUUGUAUGUUCUGAAGUUUUCCAUAUUGUACUAGGUCAUUCAGAUUAAUUUUCUUGCAUUUCGUGUUAUGUUUUUAAUUUUAUCAUGUGUUGUAUUGUACUUCCAGUUUGGGGUUAUUUCUGUGUUAUUACUACUAAUGACAUAAUCUCGCCAUGGAAAUUCUCUGUAGCAGUUCAACGUAUGGGGAAGUAUUCACUCACUAUCAAAGGUACCUAUGGGUACCAUAGGGUAGAAUUUUAAGAUGUGUAGUUGCACACAAUAUAGCAAAAAAGAAUCAUACAUAGUGUUGUAAGCCUGAGAAUUUGGUUUUCGUUACGAAUGAUAGUGUAUGGCGUCACGCUGUGUUAAUUUGGUGCCACAAGAAUUUAGUCCGUAACUUGUUGAUAAUGUUUGUUUUGGUUAAUUUUUAAUAACUUGUUAUUUUCCAUUCUGUAAUUAUACUUGUAAUGUUAGUUAUUUGGCCCAGACUUAGUUUAAAGCUAGUUAAAGGUUAAUAUCAUUAUAUUUGCUCGCUUAUUUUGUUACUGGUUUAUUUUACUGUUUCGAUACCUUCUAUUGUUUUAGCCUUUUUUAUUUAAGUUUUACAAAGGCACGUCUGGCGACGCUGGUGGCAACUGGCCGCGGACAAUUUUGGUGCAGUAUGUUGGCACGUCUGCUUUUUGUGUCGGCUGAGACGUCCGCGGGAGCGCUGGCGUCGCGGCAAGAUGGACGGCCGUGAUGUGCCUCGGAAGAGGGACUUGAAAAUCUUGACUGGAGUGGAGAGGUCGCCUGCAAUGAGGUGUCGAGCACCGAGGUUUUCGGCCUCCCAGGACAGCGAGGUGGACUUGGGCUGCAACUGAGAUAUCUGCCGAGGUCCACACUGUCGGAGUGCGGGCCAACACGAUUUCCUCAGCGCCGCAAAUGAAAGGACAAGAUUAUUUGGUGAAUUGCGGUGAAAUGGAAAUAGCUCAGAAAAGCAAUUUCGAUUUGUUUCUACUUUCCCUUCGCGGGGCCCCCCGGACUCGCGGGCCCCGUUGCCGUAGCGACGGUAGCACCGGCCACGCGGGGGCCCCUGGCUUGCCCUCGCACGGGAUUACCGUCAGUGCCUGCGGAUGAUGCGCACGCGCCGGCGCGCCGUGUCGGGGGAGGAGUCCCCCUCGCUGGCGUCCACGGACGUGCGGCGCGACGCAGGCGUCUCGGGCCGCGCCGACUGGUGCGCGGGGAAGGAGCUGCGUCUCAGCAGCGGCACGGGCCGGGGACCUGCGGCAGUACCUCGGUCCGGACCACACGCAUACACACACCCCUUCACGCGGUCCUUAACACUACAACGGUGAAAGCGUGUCUGUCCGUCGGUCCUACUUUCCUGCAGGAACGGAGCGAUGGAUCGACAAGAUUGUUUAUGGGCCGGUGGGUGAAAUUCCAUCCCCAAAGAAGCAAAAGAAAAAGAGGAUAAAUUCACUUUCAUAAUAGAAAAGCAUGGGAUGUUAGUGUGUGUCAUUUCUCUCAUGUCCGCCACACAGUCAUAAUAUUAAGGUCUGGCAACCUCCUAUCCCUUCUCCUUGGCGAAAACCCCUUCAGCUUAGUUAAGCUCGCGGCUGCUAACGAACCUUUGAAUAUAUUUACUGUAUAGAAGUCGCCAGCCCAGGUUAAAAUUUCUAAUACGGUUUUGAGGUAGUUGGUUAAUUCACCGCCGCAAUUGCCACCAUCUCUAGGGCAUCGACUUGUGGUGGUCCCUAGCGGACAAGUGUCGAACUCUUCAAACACCCCUUCCCCCUCCCGUUGAACGACCUUGAUCUGCAGUUAAUGAUUGGUGGGGGGUGCGGGGAAUGACAGCGGGCGACAGUGCUUCGCUCUAACGUGUAAAUAACAACUAAGACGAUACAGGGCGUUACAGCAUCGCACUGCAGCGGUGAAGUUCCCAAGCUUCUCAUCAUACGCUUCUGAAAAACGUAGAGUAAAUCCUAUCCACUCGCGACUUCUAUACAGUAUAUAUAUUCAAAGUAACGAACUGAAGGCCUUAAAUUUGUAACGCGCUAUCGUUUUGUGCAUCCAUCACGUCUUGCCUUGGGGAUUACCUUGCUUCCCAAAAUGAAUCUGAAGAUUUGCUCGUGCAUAGCCUUGGUGAACUGAAAUUGUGCAAUCAAUGGGGCUUUCAAAUCAAAAUUUCCCGUUUUUCAAGUGUACGCCCUACAGACUUGAGACUUGGUAGUUAUGUUCCUUAUAUUACGAUGUGUUUAAAACCUGGGCAAUGCCAGGUACUCCAGCUUGUGUUCCCAUAAACAUGACAAUGGUAUUCUACAUCUAUGCAAACAACGCAAUAAUGUACCUGAAAGUGCUUUAUUCAAACACCAUACAUGUUUAAAACAGAAGAAAGUCGACAAAUACUUAGCUAAGAAACAAUGUGAAAAGUUAGAAUUAUAGUUUUUAAUUAACUUGUAAACAAUAAAAGCAAUGUAUACUAAAAAGCAACAAAU